rnacentral:rRNA from 1 species
AACGAACGCUGGCGGCAGGCUUAACACAUGCAAGUCGAGCGCCCCGCAAGGGGAGCGGCAGACGGGUGAGUAACGCGUGGGAAUCUACCCAUCUCUACGGAAUAACGCAUGGAAACGUGUGCUAAUACCGUAUACGUCCUUCGGGAGAAAGAUUUAUCGGAGAUGGAUGAGCCCGCGUUGGAUUAGCUAGUUGGUGGGGUAAAGGCCUACCAAGGCGACGAUCCAUAGCUGGUCUGAGAGGAUGAUCAGCCACACUGGGACUGAGACACGGCCCAGACUCCUACGGGAGGCAGCAGUGGGGAAUAUUGGCCAAUGGGCGCAAGCCUGAUCCAGCCAUGCCGCGUGAGUGAUGAAGGCCCUAGGGUUGUAAAGCUCUUUCACCGGUGAGGAUAAUGACGGUAUCCGGAGAAGAAGCCCCGGCUAACUUCGUGCCAGCCGCCGCCGUAAUAC